CCUACGGGGGGCUGCAGUCGAGAAUCUUCCACAAUGGACGAAAGUCUGAUGGAGCGACGCCGCGUGAGUGAUGAAGGCCCUACGGGUUGUAAAACUCUGUCAGGAGAGAAGAAUCGCCGGGGUGCCAAUACCACCCUGGUCUGACGUUAUCUCCAGAGGAAGCUCCGGCUAACUCCGUGCCAGCAGCCGCGGUAAUACGGGGGGAGCAAGCGUUGUCCGGAAUUAUUGGGCGUAAAGGGCGUGUAGGCGGCCUGGUCAGUCGAAUGUGAAAUCCCACGGCUCAACCGUGGAACUGCGUUCGAUACUGCCUGGCUUGAGUAUGUGAGAGGUGUGCGGAAUUCCUGGUGUAGCGGUGGAAUGCGUAGAUAUCAGGAAGAACACCGAUGGCGAAGGCAGCACACUGGCGCAAUACUGACGCUGAGGCGCGAAAGCGUGGGGAGCAAACAGGCUUAGAUACCCUAGUAGUC
rnacentral:rRNA from 1 species